rnacentral:lncRNA from 1 species
GCUUGUCUUACCAGUUUCGCUUUCUGUAACGCUGUGCCUAGGGUAAUGCAACAGUUGGAGUGGGUUGCAGACAAAAGACUUUAAAGAAAAAUAGGGCAGAUGUAGGACUGGUUUUCUGUCCUAAUUGGGAUUGAAGAAAGUGGAAAUCCUUUGAUUCUUCAGGGCCAAGAAACCAGGAGCCCAGGGCUUCAGUGGCAAAGUAGCUGAUCACACAGAUGCAACUAACCUUCUGGAUUCAAGGCUGGUUAUUCAUCCGGAAGGCACUUAAUGACUAUUUAUAUCUGGCAUCCAUUCUGAUUGGUCAGUGUCUGUGGUUGCGGUUGAAGGUUUUGAGUAUCACCCCUUCUUGAACAAAACUUUUAAAGACCAGCUGUUGUUCUGAGAACGGUAUGAAGGGCUGAGUCCGAAGGCUUUGGGAAGCUCGAAGAUACAUGCUGGAAAGCUCAAAUGUCUGCAUUCUCUUCUCUGACUCAGGUGGAGAUGGUCAGUCUUCCCAAUGACUGCACUGAAAAACUCAGCUCGUGCUGCUGAAUGACGGGGACUGCUGGUAAAUGAAGGCAGAGCUGCCAAAUUACAAUCCUAGUUGGGUUCGUUGUUUUCCCCGUUUCUGGUACCAAUUGCCACUUCAGUGACGGCCAUUCCCGCAAAGUUUCAGAGACUCUCAGGACAACUCCUCACACUCGAAACACAAGUUGCUGCAUCUUGCCCUCACCUUAGCUUCUGUUGGGAGUGUUUUCUGUCCCUCAGGAAAAGAAGUUUGCUGAAAAAUGGAUACAGCUGUCUUCACGCUUUUCUUACUUUCUGGCAACUGGAAGAUCCAAGCGGUGACGUGCUUGGACCAGCGGUGGGUGAGAGUCAGAAGCUUUGUGAGAAAAACCUAUCUGGUUCUGCAGAAAUGCAAAGACUCUCUCAAAAAAUAAAACCACUGAAGUUACCAAAAUGAGGUCAGAGAUCCUGAAUCAGGUGUCACUGCACGAUGAGACAGCAGCCUGGAUGCUGCGUCUUCUGUGCAACACGAUCAGGAAGAAAGGUGGAAUCUGGGCAGCCAGGACCUGUCUCCGCUGACCCAUUUCAAUCCUUAUUCAAACCAGUUUCUUUUCAGAUAAAAGCAUUUCUUAAGUGACACUGACAGUUG